GACGAACGCUGGCGGCGUGCCUAAUACAUGCAAGUAGAACUCAGUUGCGAACGGGUGAGUAACGCGUAGGUAACUGCCUGGUAGCGGGGGAUAAAUAUUGGAAACGAUCACUAAUACCGCAUACUACAAGAUGGACCUGCGUUGUAUUAGCUAGUUGGUGGGGGAACGGCUCACUAAGGCAACGAUACAUAGCCGACCGGAGAGGGUGAGGGGCCACACGGGGACUGAGACACGGCCCAGACUCCUACGGGAGGCAGCAGUAGGGAAGCGUCGGAAAUGGGGGGAACCCUGACCGAGUAACGCCGCGGGAGUGAAGAAGGUUUUUGGAUCGUAAAGCUCUGUUGUUAAGGAAGCGGUACUUAACCAGAAAGGGACGGCUAACUACGUGCCAGCAGCCGCGGUAAUUC
rnacentral:rRNA from 1 species